rnacentral:ribozyme from 13 species
UUUUUUUUUUUUUUUUUUUUUUUUUUUUUUUUUUUUUUGAU